CCACAUCUUCAGUUGCCAUCAGGUUAUGCUGGGCACUCUGGAGAAACUGCCCGUGAUAAGCGGGAGGAAGGUGUGGAUGACGUCAAGUCCUCAUGGCCCUUACGGGUUGGGCUACACACGUGCUACAAUGGUAGUGACAAUGGGUUAAUCCCAAAAAGCUAUCUCAGUUCGGAUUGGGGUCUGCAACUCGACCCCAUGAAGUCGGAAUCGCUAGUAAUCGCGUAACAGCAUGACGCGGUGAAUACGUUCCCGGGCCUUGUACACACCGCCCGUCACACCAUGGAAGUUGGCCACGCCCGAAGCCGUUAUUCCAACCCUUGUGGAGGAGGAUGUCGAAGGUGGGGCUGAUGACUGGGGUGAAGUCGUAAGCAAGG
rnacentral:rRNA from 1 species